rnacentral:rRNA from 1 species
UACGUAGGGGGCAAGCGUUGUCCGGAUUUAUUGGGCGUAAAGAGCGUGUAGGCGGCCAAGCAGGUCCGCUGUGAAAACUCGAGGCUCAACCUCGAGACGUCGGUGGAAACCGUUUGGCUAGAGUCCGGAAGAGGAGAGUGGAAUUCCCGGUGUAGCGGUGAAAUGCGCAGAUAUCGGGAAGAACACCCGUGGCGAAGGCGGCUCUCUGGGACGUUACUGACACUAAGGCGCGAAAGCGUGGGGAGCGAACAGG